rnacentral:lncRNA from 1 species
GGGAGCCUGUCAGGAUUUAAAAUGCAAUACGUAUAUUUGAGUGCAAAUAUCUUAGAUAAUUAAUAUAUAACCUCUUAUAUUUUACAUCGAUUUACAAAUAUCCUUCUACAUGAAAAAAUCAAUCAAUAUCAAUUUUAUAUUUGAUAAAAUAUUGUAAUGCGAUCCACAGACCUCCAAAUUGAGGUCCGUGCUCGCCGUCGGCGCUUAUGUCGCAAUAUAAUUGAGAUUCUGAUCCGACAUGGCAAUCGAACGA